ncrna:unclassified sequences freshwater-2 RNA
UGUGCCGCAAGGCGGACUUAUGCUGUCCCCACAGCGUAGCGGCUAGAACCCGCAUCGGACUUCUAUACAAGGAGAAAACAAAUG